rnacentral:rRNA from 1 species
CCUACGGGUAGCAGCAGUGAGGAAUAUUGGUCAAUGGACGCAAGUCUGAACCCGCCAUGCCGCGUGCAGGAAGACGGCUCUAUGAGUUGUAAACUGCUUUUGUACGAGGGUAAACGCAGAUACGCGUAUCUGUCUGCAAGUAUCGUACGAAUAAGGAUCGGCUAACUCCGUGCCAGCAGCCGCGGUAAUACGGAGGAUUCAAGCGUUAUCCGGAUUUAUUGGGUUUAAAGGGUGCGUAGGCGGUCGUGUAAGUUAGAGGUGAAAUCCCGAGGCUCAACUUCGGAAUUGCAUCUGGUACUGUUCGGCUAGAGAGUAGUGACGGUAGGCGGAAUGUAUGGUGUGGCGGUGAAAUGCUUAGAUAUCAUACAGAACACCGAUUGCGAAGGCAGCUUACCAAGCUACUUCUGACGUUGAGGCACGAAAGCGUGGGGAGCAAACAGGAUUAGAUACCCGUGUAGUC